CCUGCUAAAUAGGGUCAAGAACUUUGUGUUCUUGUAUCACUUCUUAGAGGGACUUUGCGUGUCUAACGCAAGGAAGUUUGAGGCAAUAACAGGUCUGUGAUGCCCUUAGAUGUUCUGGGCUGCACGCGCGCUACACUGAUGCAUCCAACGAGUUUACAACCUUGGCCGACAGGUCUAGGUAAUCUUUUGAGUAUGCAUCGUGAUGGGGAUAGAUUAUUGCAAUUAUUAAUCUUCAACGAGGAAUGCCUAGUAGGCGCAAGUCAGCAGCUUGCGCCGAUUACGUCCCUGCCCUUUGUACACACCGCCCGUCGCUCCUACCGAUUGAGUGUUCCGGUGAAUUAUUCGGACUGUUCCGUGUCGCAUACCCGCGUCCGGAAUGGGAAG
rnacentral:rRNA from 1 species